rnacentral:rRNA from 1 species
UACGUAGGGUCCGAGCGUUGUCCGGAAUUAUUGGGCGUAAAGGGCUCGUAGGCGGUUUGUCACGUCGGGCGUGAAAACUCAGGGCUCAACCCUGAGCGUGCGUUCGAUACGGGCAGACUAGAGGUAUGCAGGGGAGAACGGAAUUCCUGGUGUAGCGGUGGAAUGCGCAGAUAUCAGGAGGAACACCGGUGGCGAAGGCGGUUCUCUGGGCAUUACCUGACGCUGAGGAGCGAAAGCAUGGGGAGCGAACAGG